rnacentral:lncRNA from 10 species
UGAGCAUCCUGGAAGAGGAAGCCAGGAGCUCAGAAAUGUGUUCAUCUCAGCUGGAGACCAACAGGACUAAGACUGUGAAUUUGAGCCCCAAACGGAGGCAAAGGUUUCUCCACCUCUCACACUCUCUCGCCCCCUCUGAAUUGAGGC